rnacentral:lncRNA from 1 species
UUUCUUAAUAGUCCCCAUAGACUCAUAAAAGAGAGACCGCAUGAGUAACUUUCAUGUAUGAAAUGAAAUAUACGAGGCCUGAUGUUGAUCGGUCAUAUUCUAGAGAAGAUCACUAUAAGACAGUGAAAAACAUCUUAAAGUACUUAACCAACACUAAGGAUGUGAUUAAAAUUUAUGGUGGGUCUAAAUUAAAACUAGAGGGUUUAACAGACUCAAGUUUUUUAGACAGACCAAGAC